rnacentral:lncRNA from 1 species
ACUUCCGGUCAGCGCAGCCCAGGCCGCAGGAGGGUACGGCCCUGGACCCCCUCUCUCCAGUGGGGGCUGGAGAUGGGAGCGCAACUGGGGCUCCGCCGAGGUCUCUGAGGGCACUUCACCCCCGCCCCCGACCCCAGGAACUGCGAAACCCCAAAUCUUCUUGCCCACCGCGGGGCGCAGGUCCUGCCCACCCGCUCUCCAGGGACGCGCGCAGAAAGGCAGUCCCGGCCGCCUCCCCGCGCCAGGGUCCGGGCAAGCGUCUGAAAGCUGUGCUUGGGCCGCAGCUCCAGCCAUCGCCCCUCACCCCCGGUUCUCCCGGGCCACGUUCAUUGCACAGUUUCGAUUUGUUUAGGCCGGGGUCUCCUCUUCUUUCCUCAACAUCUUUUUCUGUGGGCUCCCCGCCUCCGUAUUCCUCCUCAUCCUCUGCUCCAAGGUUUCCGUUUUUUGCACCGGAGGCCGCCCUUCUGCGACCAGCCUUCUCCGGCCGCUCGGACUCGGCCUCUGCAGCGGGGUGCACCCGGGCGUCCCUUCGGCUCCCGGCCCUCCCUCUCUCCUCGUCGCCCAGCCCUGCCUCCAACUUUGCGCCCCCGGCUGCCCCGCGCCGCGGCUCAACUGGACAUCCGAACGCUCCGACUGUCCGCUCCCCUCCCCUCCCCCGGCCGACACGUGGGGACCAGCGCUGACCUUGGGUGAGGCCACGCUGUCCCCCGCUGCUCUCCAGUCACCCCUGUAUCCCUUUGACUCUUGGGCUUCCGAGUAGGGGCUCCCGGAGUAUUACCAGGGAAAAGGGGAGCGCCCUUCCCCUGGUAAUGAGAGUAGCCACGCAAUGUCGGCUGCGCAAACUGGGCCUCAGAGCGGCCAGGCCAGGGUCAAACCAGGAAGAGGGGGAGGGGUGGACAGCAAGGCUGAAGAGACCUGACUUUAUUUGUGUUGCUUCAACUGGUCCUGAAUGGUUACACGAGGCGCGCGCUCUUGCACACACACCGCGGGCAGCCCAAACCCUCGCUGGCUCGGCCCGCCGGCUCCUCGCCCUGCCAGUCCUGAGCCGGCUCUGAGCCACUGGAGUCAGAGGGCCCGGGCGCCUGCCUUCUCGGUGCGGGCUGGGGAGGACCUGCUCGCGAAGGGCUGCCAACUGAACUUUUCCUGCACCAGGGCUGACCGCAUUGUGGUGCAAAGUGACAAGUCGAGUGUUGACUUGGGGACUGCGAUAAAUCUUAAGGAAGAGUGGAAAUGCAUGGGCUUUGGAGCUGGACAUUUGGGGUUUAAAUGCUGACUCUGCUGUGGGACCGUGGCACCUAGCACAGAGCUAGCCACACUGAAGGAGCCACAUGGAGAUGUGGCCACCCCUGAGUGGAUGACGCCUUUGCCAGCCUUUGGGAAUGUGUCUUUUCUUCCUGAACCUCAUUUCCUGAGAGUGACCAGGAGUAGCUGGACACUGCAUCUAUCACACCAGAUAUUGGGAGAUGCAGGGCAGAUGCUUCAUGCUUUCAGAGGUUUCCAAAGAUGGCCAGGCUGCUGCAGCCAUGAAGAUAUCCAGGGUGACUGGACAAAGGAGGAGCCCUACUACGUGAACUGUCAACGGAGUAGAAGUCAAGCAAAGGUGACUUGCUGCCUGCCACAUCUGCCUCCCGCUGUGAAAUCACAACAAGGCAACCACGAAUAGCUGAGGCAGAGGCUCAAAAAUACUUUAGAAACCUGUGGCCCGAUGCAUCGCUUGAAAUUUUUAUGCAGCUGAGGGCUGGAGUGCGGUGGGAGAAAUAAAAGUGGGAGGAACGCCACAAAGGACCAUGUUAGAACUUAACACAACUGUUCUAUAAAUUAUGGUGACAAAACAAAUACUGCUAAUACUGAUGAUAAUGAUAAAUGCUUUUAAUCAGUUUUACUAAAGCAUUUUAAAUCUUGUGGGACAGAUGGGAAAAUAAAACUUGCUGUUGGAACCUUGGGAUUUAUAAGAAACUCCUUGGUCAACAUUAUAAGGAGGACGGAAUCUUCCAAGGUGAAGAAGAGAAGCUGGUGUGAUAAAAUUUCUAUCAUCAUCACGUUUUCGCUUUGCUUUAAUGGCAAAUUAACACUCACCCUAGUUGUUAAACACAUCCUUUCAAUUAAUCUCCCAGCCGGUGAAGUGCUGCUCCCUGGAUCUUGAGCAAUGUGGGUUGCCUGACCCACGUCAGGGCCAAGGAAACUGGCGGGCAUGGUCAGGGGUGGAAGCGGGUGACAGUUAUUUCAGGGGUCAAGUGUUUAAACAUCUGGUGCCUCCCUGAAGCCAGCUUUGGCUCGGACACCUCUGCUCAGGCAGGAGAAGCAGGGAGUCGGGGCUGCGGAUCUUUGCCUCUGAGCCCUCUGUUUUCCCUCUGCUUCCUGGGGAAGAAUGCCCGAAUGAGAACACGCAACCGCACAACUUCUACCACCCUGUGGUAACUUUAUGCCAUGACAUACACUCCCUCUACUGGGACGUUCCUUCCAUCCUUGUGAGAAACACCCCCACGACUCCUGGUUGCCCCCUUUAAUCCCUCAGUUCCAGGGGCAUCUUUGGAAGAGCUUUGAAGGCCAACUCAAAUGUGUAUUCUCAGGUUUUGAAAGAUCUCAGAAUCACCAGUGCUGGGACUCUUGUAUUCACUGGGGGUGAACAAUGAUGAACAUAUUGAGUGGUAGAGUAAUAACCACAAGACAAAACCAGCACAGUCUUCAGCCACAGCCAAUGGUGAUGCCGCAAGUCCAACUCUCGUAAGAGGUGGGGGGGCUCAGAAAGGGAAGUGGCCUGUCCACCGAAGCUGACAAAAACAUUUGCAGUGUUUGCAUUUUCUCCCAGCCUCUACAUCUCCCAAAUGGUUCCUUUUCCACAGCAUGCCCCCACCCCCAAUUUUAUACAUAGCAGAUGGCCUUCAAACAAAUCAAGGAGCAGAAGCUGCAAAAGGCUUAAAAAAAAAAAGACAGUGAAACUCAUAUAUUUCUUCAAAAGAUAAGAUGAACUACAGAUGUUUGCUGAAGGGUGAUGGUGCUGCCUACAACUUAAGACUCGACUUAAGAGUCCACUUAUGUUUAGCGUUGGACAAGCCCAGUAGAUGUCAUGGUGUGAUUUAUGGAGGUUGUUUGUGAGAUUUUAUGUUACUGGGGACAUGGCAAUGAAAACACUCUGCCAUUCUGCCUGCAAGCAUCUUUCUCUGUGGACCCAGGUGGGGAGUCCAUGAUGGAAACCGUGUGCCAGCCAGCAGCCAGGCAUGUAUCCUUGCCAUCCACAGCUCAGCCCACGUGUCCUUGAUCGCCCUGCAUUCUGACCAAUAUGCCCCUUCGCUCCUGGGCCACUUUCUCUCCUCUUUUAUGGAGUUCUUGGUCCUUGCCAAUGUCCUAUUCUUACCUGACACCUGCAGUCAGAUUAGUCUCAAAUCAAGCUUGACAAAGUUGCUAAAAGAGAAACAGUUGUCUCUUGCAGGAUCCAGCUGUAUAUAGAAAACAGCUGCUUGCUAGGCACGUUUUUUGAAAAGGAAGAGAAGAAUCACUGCAAAGGGCUUAAAAAUGAACAUAAAGCAUAUCUUGAAUAAGACAACAGAGGCCUGUAAUUAACGCAAGGGUUAAGUAUCUGUGUUUCUAUUAAAUGCUUCUUUUUCAGGACUUGUUGUAACUUGGUCAUAAAUAUUUAUUACAAACUGAAACUGAGGAUAUAAGACCUUAGCUGAAUGCUGUUUCCCCCUCUCACUUCUUUGCUUUCCAAAGCUAAUUCUUAACAAUGCAAAGAGUGUGAUGUGUUUUGGACACACACACCUACUCCAAAAUGCAAGCCAAUGUAUGCAUCUGUGCAGAGGCAGACACCUACGCCCAUCAGCACAGCACAUGUGCACACCGCCCUUCCCUAGACGCUCAAGUGGUGAGUAUAAGGCAGAGGCUGCUGAGUCUUGGGCAGAAGCAGCAGGAGGAGGCCCCAGCCAUCCCCUGGCCUCUGGAGCAGAAACAUGGGGAGCCUUUGAAGUUGCCACAACUCAGGUGGAAGCCCCUCAGAGCAGCCCUAAGAGGAAGUCAUUCAUUUUCAAACAAAGGGGAAAAUUCCUCAGGACCCUGGUGUUUCCACUAAAACAAUCCUCUGAAAAGUUAUUCCCCAGAGGAGCAAGGACCAGCUGUGCUCCAUCUCCACGAGGUUGUGAAGAGAGAAAAUGGGCCGCCUGCACUACAGCAUGAGAGCCAUCAGUUAGACAAAAAGAAGCAUGGUGAGACAGGCAAGGCCCUCCAGAGAAAGCCAGGAAGACAGUGAGUGGCUUUCAAAACCGAUGUGGUGCAUUCAGAGGCUGGAAGAUGGACAAUAUUACUUUCCCAGAAAGUUUCGCAAAACUUUCUCUUUUGUUGGCAUGUUGAAAAUAGCAAGCCAUUGCCUCUUCCCCCGGCCGCUGGGUCUGCUGGCAAGCAUGUUAAUUUCCAGAACUCACAGAAUUAAAGCCAGAGAGGAUCCUUGUAACUCAUCUUCUCUCCCUCCCCAGCUUCCCACAGAACCAUACCCAAAAGCUUCCGUGGACACAAGAAUCUUGCUUAUUUUUAAAUAGUUUGAAUUACCUGGUAGUGGAUUUUGUUUUUUUUUAGCUUCUCUAUCCCUUUUUAAUUUAAAUUAAUUUUAUUAUUAUUAUUUUUGAGAUGGAGUCUUGCUGUGUUGCCAGGCUAGAGUGCAGUGGCAUGAUCUCUGCUCACUGCAACCUCCAACUCCCUGGUUCAAGUGAGUCUCCUGCCUCAGCCUCCCGAGUAGCUGGGAUUACAGGCACGUGCCACCACGCCCAGCUAAUUUUUGUAUUUUUAGUAGUGACGGAGUUUCACCAUGUUGGCUAGGAUGGUCUUGAUCUCCUGACCUCGUGAUCCGCCCGCUUCGGCCUCCCAAAGUGCUGGGAUUACAGACGUGAGCCACGGCGCCCAGCCUCUAUACCUUGAAAAAAAAAAAAGGUCUGUGAAUACACAGUAGGUGUAUGUAAUUAUGGGGUACAUGAGGUAUUUUGAUACGGGCAUACAAUGCAUAAUAAUCACAUCAGGGUAAAUGGGGUAUCCAUCAGCUCAAGCAUUUGUAAUUUCAUUGUGUGACAAACAUUCCAAUUAUACCUUUUCAUUAUUUAAAAAUGUACAAUAAAUUAUUGUUGACUGUAAUUACCCUGUUGUGCUAUCAAAUACUGGAUCUUAUUCAUUCUAUCUAAUUAUAUUUUUGUACACAUUAACCAUGUCUACUUCCCCCUGACUUUCCACUUCCAACUCCCCUCCCCAGCUUCUGGUAACCAUCAUUCUACUCUCUAUCUCCAUGAGUUCAAUUGUUUUAAUUUUUAGCUCCCACAAGUGAAUGAGAACAAGUGAAGUUUAUCUUUCUGUCCCUUGCUUAUUUCACUUAACAUAAUGUCCUGUAGUUCCAUCCAUGUUGUUAUUAUUAUUUUUAUGCCAGUAUCAUGCUGCUUUGGUUACUAUGACUCUGUAGUGUAACUUGAGGUCAGGUAGUUUGAUCUCUCCAGUUUAGUCCUUUUUGCUCAGGAUGGCUUUGGCUAUUCUUAGUCUUUUGUAGUUUCAUAUAAAUUUUAGGAUUGCUCUAUUUUUUUUUUCUUUGAAGAAUGUCACUUGUAUUUUGAGAGGGAUUGCAUGGAAUCUGUAGGUUGCUUUCAGUAGCAUAAACAUUUUAGCAAUAUUGCUUCUUCCAAUCCAUGAACAUCUUUCCAUCUUUUUGGUGUCCUCUUCAAUUUCUUGCAUCAAUUUUUCAUAGUUUUCAUUGUAGGGAUCUUUCACUUAUUUGGUUAAUUCCUAGGUGUUUUAUUUUAUUUGUAGCUAUUGUAAAUUAUAUUACUUUCUUGAUUUCUUUUUCAGAUUGUUAACUGUUGGCAUAUAGUAAUGAUACUGAUUUUUGUACGUUGAUUUUAUAUCUUGCAACUUUACUGAAUUUAUCAGUUCUAAUAGUUUUUUUGGUGGAGUUUUUAGGUUUUUCCAAAUAUAAGAUGAUACAUCGUCUAUAAACAAGGAUAAUUUGACUUAUUCCUUCCUAACGUGGAUGCCCUUUUUUUCUUUCCAUUUUCUGAUUGCUCUAGCAAUCAGAUUGCUCUCCCAGUACUAUGUUGAAUAGCAGUGGUGAAAGUAAGCAUCCUUGUCUUGUUCCAGAUCUUAGCGGAAAGGCAUUAAUUUUUUCCCAUUCAGUAUGAUACUAAUUGUGGAUCUGUCAUAUGUGGCUUUUAUUGCAUUGAGGUGUGUUUCCUCUACACCAAGUUUUUUGAGGGUUUUUAUCAUGAGGGGAUGUUGAACUUUAUCAAAUACUUUUUCAGCAUCAAUUGAAAUGAUUGUAUGAUUUUUGUCCUUCAUUCCGUUGAUAGGAUGGAGCAUAUCAAUUGAUUUGUGUAUGUUGAACCAUCCUUGCUUCCCUGGGAUAAAUCCUAUUUAGUCAUGAUGAAUAAUCUUUUUAAUGUGUUGAUGAAUUCAGUUUGCUAGUAUUUUGUUGAGAAUUUUUGCAUCAAUGUUUAUCAGGGAUAUUGACCCGUAGUUUUCUUUUUUUGAUGUGUGUUUUUCUGGUUUUGGUAUCAGGGUAAUAUUGGCCUCAUAGAAUCAGUUUGGAAUUAUUUCCCCCUGCUCCAUUUUUCAGAAUAGUUUGAGAAGAAUUGGUAUUAGUUCUUUAAAUGUUUGGUAAAAUUCAGCAGCGAGGCUAUUGAGUACCAGGCUUUUCUUUGCCGAGAGAUUUUUUUGUUAUGGCUUCAGUCUCAUUACAUGUGAUUGGUCUCUUCAGGUUUUGGAUUUCUUCAUGGUUCAAUCUUGGUAGGCUGUAUGUAUUUGACUUCUCUAUCUCUUAAUCUCUUUCCUUUGUGUGAGAGUUCCCCAUCCUGUAAAUCAGAGUUGGAAGUAGAAAAUUCCUCUCGUGGCUGAGGCUGAAAAGUCCAGUUCUUGCCUUUCCACCAUCCAUCCUCUCUGUGCGGGCUGGACCACUGAGCCCUCAUGCCGUAGACAAAGCUUGUCUCCACUUUAUUCUGGUGUCAGGCCUGUGGAAGGAGAGUUCGGGUGAAGGAUGUGUAUUGUGCAGUUUGCUCCAAUCACACGAUUUGGGGAGGUGAUGAUAGGACAGAUAAUACCAGAGUGUCAAUGUGUUCUGUUGCAUUAAUAUUGGGUUCAGGUUUGUGGGUGGGUGGAUGCUGAGUAGUUUUCCCAAUAAUGAACUUGUAGACAGACCAGAUAAUAAAGGCCUGAGCAAAGCCAGCAAUAUUUUGUCUUGUGACACAAAAUUGUUGGCUUUACAGUCAGAGGUAGGAUUGGAUCCUGGCUGAGUAAUCUUGGGCAAGAUUCUCAUCUUCUCUAAGCUUCAGUUUCCUCAUCUUCAAAUGAAGACUGUGAGACCUCGCAGGAUCAUUGUGAGGAUCAAAUGAGGAGGGAGAGAGAGUGCACAGGCACGGUGCAUGGCACAUAAUUGGUCCUCAAUAAAUAUGAUUAUAAAUGUCCUGCAAUCUAGAAGGAAAUCCAUAGGAAGGAAAAGAUGUGGACUAAGGUUUGUAAGGAACAUGUGAGUAUAUUGGAGUGCUGCACCAUAGCAAUGACAACAGAUCCUCAAAUGGCAAAUGUAUGUAUCUCAAAGAGCAUAUUUCUUCCCAGUUAUCUCAUUCAUAGAACCUAAUGCUGGAUCUUGGGUAACAGGGGUGUGCUUGUUAUUCUUCAUUUGUGUAUCCACCACUAGAUCCAUCCCCUGCCCUUUUCUGCCCAUUAUCCCAGGGGCACAAUGUAUGCUAACAUGUAUACACUGCCUCUCCCUGCUUUCUUGCUCUCUUGCUUCUGUCUGGGUUUGGCCAAUUCCAGCCUGGAUCCAGCUCUCAUCAGGUUCUAAGAAUACUAUGCCCUUCAGGCCAAGAAUGGCUAUAGCUUCCUGCCAUUGCUAAUCCCUGGGGCCUCAAUUUCCUGUGGUGGUUCCUUUAGCCCUAGCCACACUUCUGUGAAUUGUCUCUUUAUUAAAGUCUCUUUGGAAUCCCA